CCUACGGGUGGCAGCAGUCGAGAAUCAUUCACAAUGGGGGAAACCCUGAUGGUGCGACGCCGCGUGGGGGAAUGAAGGUCUUCGGAUUGUAAACCCCUGUCAUGUGGGAGCAAAUUAAAAAGAUAGUACCACAAGAGGAAGAGACGGCUAACUCUGUGCCAGCAGCCGCGGUAAUACAGAGGUGUCAAGCGUUGUUCGGAAGCACUGGGCGUAAAGCGUGCGUAGGCUGUUUCGUAAGUCGUGUGUGAAAGGCGGGGGCUCAACCCGCGGACGGCAGAUGAUACUGGGAGACUAGAGUAAUGGAGGGGGAACCGGAAUUCUCGGUGUAGCAGUGAAAUGCGUAGAUAUCGAGAGGAACACUCGUGGCGAAGGCAGGUUCCUGGACAUUAACUGACGCUGAGGCACGAAGGCCAGGGGAGCGAAAGGGAUUAGAUACCCGAGUAGUC
rnacentral:rRNA from 1 species